CUACGGGCCGCUCCAGUGAGGAAUUUUGCGCAAUGGGGGAAACCCUGACGCAGCAACGCCGCGUGAGCGAAGAAGGCCUUCGGGUCGUAAAGCUCUGUCAAGUGGGAAAAAAAUUCUUUGAUGAACAGUCAAAGGACUUGAUGGUACCACUGGAGGAAGCACCGGCUAACUCCGUGCCAGCAGCCGCGGUAAUACGGAGGGUGCAAGCGUUGUUCGGAAUUACUGGGCGUAAAGAGCGUGUAGGCGGUUUGACAAGUCAGAUGUGAAAGCCCCGGGCUCAACCCGGGAAGUGCAUUUGAACUGUUUCACUAGAGUAUGGGAGAGGAGAUUGGAAUUCCUGGUGUAGAGGUGAAAUUCGUAGAUAUCAGGAGGAACGCCCGUGGCGAAGGCGAUUCUCUGGACCAAUACUGACGCUGAGACGCGAAAGCGUGGGGAGCAAACAGGAUUAGAUACCCGUGUAGUC
rnacentral:rRNA from 1 species